rnacentral:rRNA from 1 species
AACGAACGCUGGCGGCAGGCCUAACACAUGCAAGUCGAGCGUGACCUUCGGGUCUAGCGGCGGACUGGUGAGUAACGCGGGGGAAUAUGCCCUUUGGUACGGAAUAGCCUCGGGAAACCGAGAGUAAUACCGUAUGUGCCCUUCGGGGGAAAGAGUUAUAGACAAAGGAGUAGCCCGAGUUGGAUUAGGUAGUUGGUGGGGUAAUGGCCUACCAAGCCUACGAUCCAUAGCUGGUUUGAGAGGAUGAUCAGCCACACUGGGACUGAGACACGGCCAAGACUCCUACGGGAGGCAGCAGUGGGGAAUCUUAGACAAUGGGGGCAACCCUGAUCUAGCCAUGCCGCGUGAGUGAUGAAGGCCUUAGGGUUGUAAAGCUCUUUCAGCUGGGAAGAUAAUGACGGUACCAGCAGAAGAAGCCCCGGCUAACUCCGUGCCAGCCGCCGCGGUAAUAC